ACCAGCGGUGAUGGCACGCUAAAUGCACCAGUUGCCGAAAAACCACUAAUAUUAAUAUAACGUUGCGCGUGGUUAGUAUCUGGAUGGGUGACCAUCCGGGCAAUCGCGAGCUUGAUU
rnacentral:rRNA from 1 species